rnacentral:ncRNA from 1 species
AUUCCACACCGGCGACGGAUCAUUCAAGUGUUUGCCCUAUCAACUUUCGUCGGUACGGUAUUUGCCUACCGAGGUUCUUACGGGUGACGGGGAAUCAGGGUUCGAUUCCGGAGAGGGAGCCUGAGAAACGGCUACCACAUCCAAGGAAGGCAGCAGGCGCGCAAAUUACCCAUUCCCGACGCGGGGAGGUAGUGACGAAAAAUAACAAUGCAGGACUCGUUCGAGGCCCUGUAAUUGGAAUGAGUACACUUUAAAAGCUUUAACGAGUAUCCAUUGGAGGGCAAGUCUGGUGCCAGCAGCCGCGGUAAUUCCAGCUCCAAAAGUAUAUAUUUAAGUUGUUGCGGUUAAAAAGCUCGUAGUUGGAUUUUGGGCGCAGGCGGCCGGUCCGUCGCAAGGCGUGUACUGGACGUCCUGGCCUUCCCUCCGGUUCUCCGCCGGUGCUCUUGACUGAGUGUCGGCGGCGGCCGGAACGUUUACUUUGAAAAAAUUAGAGUGUUCAAAGCAGGCUCUCGAGCCUGGAUAAUGGUGCAUGGAAUAAUGGAAUAGGACCUCGGUUCUAUUUUGUUGGUUUUCGGAGCGCGAGGUAAUGAUUAAGAGGGACAGACGGGGGCAUUCGUACUGUGCCGUUAGAGGUGAAAUUCUUGGAUCGGCGCAAGACGAACGACUGCGAAAGCAUUUGCCAAGAAUGUUUUCUUUAAUCAAGAGCGAAAGUCA